rnacentral:piRNA from 1 species
UGGAGUUCAGUGCAUGAGGCUGAAAGU